rnacentral:rRNA from 1 species
UACGAAUGGGGCAAGCGUUGUUCGGAAUCACUGGGCUUAAAGCGUGCGCAGGCGGCCUUGCAAGUCAGAAGUGAAAGCCUGGGGCUCAACCCCAGAACUGCUUUUGAAACUGCAAGGCUAGAAUCCUGGAGAGGUCGGGGGAAUUCCGAGUGUAGAGGUGAAAUUCGCAGAUAUUCGGAGGAACACCAGUGGCGUAGGCGCCCGACUGGACAGGUAUUGACGCUCAGGAACGAAAGCGUGGGGAGCAAACAGG